CAGCAGCCGCGGUAAAACGAACCAUGCGAACGUUAUUCGGAAUUACUGGACUUAAAGCGCGUGUAGGCGGGCCGCCACGUCGGUUGCUGAAAUCCCCCGGCUCAACCGGGGAAGUGGCAUCGAUACGAGCGGCCUUGAGGGGGGUAGGGGGAUCUGGAACUUCCGGUGGAGCGGUGAAAUGCGUUGAGAUCGGAAGGAACGCCCGUGGCGAAAGCGAGGUCCUGGACCCUUUCUGACGCUGAGACGCGAAAGCUAGGGGAGCGAACGGGAUUAGAUACCCGCGUAGUCCCUGUCUCUUAUA
rnacentral:rRNA from 1 species